rnacentral:rRNA from 1 species
UGAGAGUGGCGCACGGGUGCGUAACGCGUGAGCAACCUACCCAUAUCAGGGGGAUAGCCUCUCGAAAGAGAGAUUAACACCGCAUAACAUCAUUUACCGGCAUCGGAUUAUGAUCAAAUAUUUAUAGGAUAUGGAUGGGCUCGCGUGACAUUAGCUAGUUGGAGGGGUAACGGCCCACCAAGGCUACGAUGUCUAGGGGCUCUGAGAGGAGAAUCCCCCACACUGGUACUGAGACACGGACCAGACUCCUACGGGAGGCAGCAGUAAGGAAUAUUGGUCAAUGGAGGGAACUCUGAACCAGCCAUGCCGCGUGCAGGAUGACUGCCCUAUGGGUUGUAAACUGCUUUUGUCAGGGAAUAAACCUUUCCACGUGUGGGAAGCUGAAUGUACCUGAAGAAUAAGGAUCGGCUAACUCCGUGCCAGCAGCCGCGGUAAUACGGAGGAUCCAAGCGUUAUCCGGAUUUAUUGGGUUUAAAGGGUGCGUAGGCGGUCCUAUAAGUCAGUGGUGAAAGACGGCAGCUUAACUGUCGCAGUGCCUUUGAUACUGUAGGACUUGAAUCUAUUUGAAGUGGGCGGAAUAAGACAAGUAGCGGUGAAAUGCAUAGAUAUGUCUUAGAACUCCGAUUGCGAAGGCAGCUCACUAAGUUAGUAUUGACGCUGAUGCACGAAAGCGUGGGGAUCAAACAGGAUUAGAUACCCUGGUAGUCCACGCCCUAAACGAUGAUAACUCGAUGUUUGCGAUACACAGUAAGCGUCCAAGCGAAAGCGUUAAGUUAUCCACCUGGGGAGUACGGUCGCAAGAUUGAAACUCAAAGGAAUUGACGGGGGCCCGCACAAGCGGAGGAGCAUGUGGUUUAAUUCGAUGAUACGCGAGGAACCUUACCCGGGCUUGAAAGUUAGUGAAUGAUCCAGAGACGGAUCAGUCCUUCGGGAC